rnacentral:rRNA from 1 species
UACGAAGGCAGCAGUGGGGAAUAUUGCGCAAUGGGCGAAAGCCUGACGCAGCGACGCCGCGUGGGGGAUGACGGCCUUCGGGUUGUAAACCUCUUUCGACCGGGACGAAGCGCAAGUGACGGUACCGGUAGAAGAAGCACCGGCCAACUACGUGCCAGCAGCCGCGGUAAUACGUAGGGUGCGAGCGUUGUCCGGAAUUAUUGGGCGUAAAGAGCUCGUAGGCGGUCUGUCGCGUCGGUCGUGAAAACUUGGGGCUUAACCCUGAGCUUGCGGUCGAUACGGGCAUGACUGGAGUUCGGCAGGGGAGACUGGAAUUCCUGGUGUAGCGGUGAAAUGCGCAGAUAUCAGGAGGAACACCGGUGGCGAAGGCGGGUCUCUGGGCCGAUACUGACGCUGAGGAGCGAAAGCGUGGGGAGCGAACAGGGAUUAGGAUACCCGU